rnacentral:rRNA from 1 species
UACGAAGGGGGCUAGCGUUGCUCGGAAUCACUGGGCGUAAAGGGUGCGUAGGCGGGUCUUUAAGUCAGGGGUGAAAUCCCGGGGCUCAACCCCGGAACUGCCCUUGAAACUGGAGAGCUAGAAUCUUGGAGAGGCGAGUGGAAUUCCGAGUGUAGAGGUGAAAUUCGUAGAUAUUCGGAAGAACACCAGUGGCGAAGGCGAACUCGCUGGACAAGUAUUGACGCUGAGGUGCGAAAGCGUGGGGAGCAAACAGGGAUUAAGAA